rnacentral:rRNA from 1 species
GAUGAACGCUAGCGGCAGGCUUAAUACAUGCAAGUCGAGGGGCAGCGCAGUGUAGCAAUACAUGGGCGGCGACCGGCAAACGGGUGCGGAACACGUACACAACCUUCCUACAAGUGGGGAAUAGCCCAGAGAAAUUUGGAUUAAUACCCCGUAACAUAGCGAUGUGGCAUCACAUUGCUAUUAUAGCUUCGGCGCUUGUUGAUGGGUGUGCGGCUGAUUAGAUAGUUGGCGGGGUAACGGCCCACCAAGUCUACGGUCAGUAGCUGAUGUGGGCGCAUGAUCAGCCACACGGGCACUGAGACACGGGCCCGACUCCUACGGGAGGCAGCGGUAAGGAAUAUUGGACAAUGGACGCAAGUCUGAUCCAGCCAUGCCGCGUGAAGGAUUAAGGUCCUCUGGAUUGUAAACUUCUUUUAUAAGGGACGAAAAAAGGUCUUUCUAGAUCGUCUGACGGUACCUUAUGAAUAAGCACCGGCUAACUCCGUGCCAGCAGCCGCCGUAACAC